GUCCAGACUCCUACGGGAGGCAGCAGUGAGGAAUAUUGGUCAAUGGGCGGGAGCCUGAACCAGCCAAGUCGCGUGAGGGAAGACGGUCCUACGGAUUGUAAACCUCUUUUGUCGGGGGGUAAAGAGAGUCACGUGUGACUCAUUGAGAGUACCCGAAGAAAAAGCAUCGGCUAACUCCGUGCCAGCAGCCGCGGUAAUACGGAGGAUGCGAGCGUUAUCCGGAUUUAUUGGGUUUAAAGGGUGCGCAGGCGGAGGUGCAAGUCAGCGGUCAAAUUGCGGGGCUCAACCCCGUACUGCCGUUGAAACUGCAUCCCUUGAGUGCGCGAGAAGUAUGCGGAAUGCGUGGUGUAGCGGUGAAAUGCAUAGAUAUCACGCAGAACUCCGAUUGCGAAGGCAGCAUACCGGCGCGCAACUGACGCUCAUGCACGAAAGCGUGGGUAUCGAACAGGAUUGGAUACCCC
rnacentral:rRNA from 1 species